rnacentral:rRNA from 1 species
CGAUCUUCGGAUUGGUGGCGACCGGCGCACGGGUGCGUAACGCGUACGCAACCUACCCUUUACAGAGGGAUAGCCCGGAGAAAUUCGGAUUAAUACCUCAUGGUAUCAUUAGAGGGCAUCUGAAAAUGAUUAAAGAUUUAUCGGUAAAGGAUGGGCAUGCGUGACAUUAGUUAGUUGGUGAGGUAACGGCUCACCAAGGCGACGAUGUCUAGGGGUUCUGAGAGGAUGAUCCCCCACACUGGCACUGAGAUACGGGCCAGACUCCUACGGGAGGCAGCAGUAGGGAAUAUUGGUCAAUGGGCGAGAGCCUGAACCAGCCAUGCCGCGUGCAGGAAGACGGCCUUCUGGGUUGUAAACUGCUUUUAUCAGGGAACAAAAAGCUCCUGCGGGGGAAAUUGCGUGUACCUGAAGAAUAAGCACCGGCUAACUCCGUGCCAGCAGCCGCGGUAAUACGGAGGGUGCAAGCGUUGUCCGGAUUUAUUGGGUUUAAAGGGUGCGUAGGCGGUCAAUUAAGUCAGUGGUGAAAUCCUGCAGCUCAACUGUAGAACUGCCAUUGAUACUGGUUGACUUGAGUACAGACGAGGUAGGCGGAAUUUAUGGUGUAGCGGUGAAAUGCAUAGAUACCAUAAAGAACACCUAUAGCGAAGGCAGCUUACUAGACUGUAACUGACGCUGAGGCACGAAAGCGUGGGGAGCGAACAGGAUUAGAUACCCUGGUAGUCCACGCCGUAAACGAUGAUUACUCGAUGUGUGCGAUAUUACAGUACGCGUCCAAGCGAAAGCGUUAAGUAAUCCACCUGGGGAGUACGCUCGCAAGAGUGAAACU